AAUUAAAUUAUCAUAUACAAAUGUAUUAAACUUAGAAUUUAAAAAAGUAAUUCAACAUUACAUUUAAUA
rnacentral:tRNA from 1 species